rnacentral:rRNA from 1 species
GAUGAACGCUGGCGGCGUGCUUAACACAUGCAAGUCGAACGGUGAAGCAGGAGCUUGCUCUUGUGGAUCAGUGGCGAACGGGUGAGUAACACGUGAGCAACCUGCCCCUGACUCUGGGAUAAGCGCUGGAAACGGCGUCUAAUACUGGAUAUGUGAUGUGACCGCAUGGUCUGCAUCUGGAAAGAAUUUCGGUUGGGGAUGGGCUCGCGGCCUAUCAGCUUGUUGGUGAGGUAACGGCUCACCAAGGCGUCGACGGGUAGCCGGCCUGAGAGGGUGACCGGCCACACUGGGACUGAGACACGGCCCGGACUCCUACGGGAGGCAGCAGUGGGAAUAUUGCACAAUGUGCGGAAGCCUGAUGCAGCAACGCCGCGUGAGGGAUGACGGCCUUCGGGUUGUAAACCUCUUUUAGCAGGGAAGAAGCGAAAGUGACGGUACCUGCAGAAAAAGCACCGGCUAACUACGUGCCAGCCGCCGCCGUAA